rnacentral:rRNA from 1 species
AGAGUUUGAUCAUGGCUCAGAUUGAACGCUGGCGGCAGGCCUAACACAUGCAAGUCGAGCGGUAGCACAGGAGAGCUUGCUCUCCGGGUGACGAGCGGCGGACGGGUGAGUAAUGUCUGGGAAACUGCCUGAUGGAGGGGGAUAACUACUGGAAACGGUAGCUAAUACCGCAUAACGUCUUCGGACCAAAGUGGGGGACCUUCGGGCCUCACGCCAUCAGAUGUGCCCAGAUGGGAUUAGCUAGUAGGUGGGGUAAUGGCUCACCUAGGCGACGAUCCCUAGCUGGUCUGAGAGGAUGACCAGCCACACUGGAACUGAGACACGGUCCAGACUCCUACGGGAGGCAGCAGUGGGGAAUAUUGCACAAUGGGCGCAAGCCUGAUGCAGCCAUGCCGCGUGUGUGAAGAAGGCCUUCGGGUUGUAAAGCACUUUCAGCGAGGAGGAAGGGUNUGCAUUGACGUUACUCGCAGAAGAAGCACCGGCUAACUCCGUGCCAGCAGCCGCGGUAAUACGGAGGGUGCAAGCGUUAAUCGGAAUUACUGGGCGUAAAGCGCACGCAGGCGGUUUGUUAAGUCAGAUGUGAAAUCCCCGCGCUUAACGUGGGAACUGCAUUUGAAACUGGCAAGCUAGAGUCUUGUAGAGGGGGGUAGAAUUCCAGGUGUAGCGGUGAAAUGCGUAGAGAUCUGGAGGAAUACCGGUGGCGAAGGCGGCCCCCUGGACAAAGACUGACGCUCAGGUGCGAAAGCGUGGGGAGCAAACAGGAUUAGAUACCCUGGUAGUCCACGCUGUAAACGAUGUCGACUUGGAGGUUGUGCCCUUGAGGCGUGGCUUCCGGAGCUAACGCGUUAAGUCGACCGCCUGGGGAGUACGGCCGCAAGGUUAAAACUCAAAUGAAUUGACGGGGGCCCGCACAAGCGGUGGAGCAUGUGGUUUAAUUCGAUGCAACGCGAAGAACCUUACCUACUCUUGACAUCCAGAGAAUUCGCUAGAGAUAGCUUAGUGCCUUCGGGAACUCUGAGACAGGUGCUGCAUGGCUGUCGUCAGCUCGUGUUGUGAAAUGUUGGGUUAAGUCCCGCAACGAGCGCAACCCUUAUCCUUUGUUGCCAGCGCGUAAUGGCGGGAACUCAAAGGAGACUGCCGGUGAUAAACCGGAGGAAGGUGGGGAUGACGUCAAGUCAUCAUGGCCCUUACGAGUAGGGCUACACACGUGCUACAAUGGCGUAUACAAAGAGAAGCGAACUCGCGAGAGCCAGCGGACCUCAUAAAGUACGUCGUAGUCCGGAUCGGAGUCUGCAACUCGACUCCGUGAAGUCGGAAUCGCUAGUAAUCGUAGAUCAGAAUGCUACGGUGAAUACGUUCCCGGGCCUUGUACACACCGCCCGUCACACCAUGGGAGUGGGUUGCAAAAGAAGUAGGUAGCUUAACCUUCGGGAGGGCGCUUACCACUUUGUGAUUCAUGACUGGGGUGAAGUCGUAACAAGGUAACCGUAGGGGAACCUGCGGUUGGAUCACCU